GUAUAUAUACAGCUAAACUGGUGUAGGCUGAAUGGGUGGAGCUAAACUGCAGUAUAUUGUUUUAUUUAGUUCCUUUAGCUGAUUGGUGGAAGCAGUAUGCAGUCUGGGCAGCUGUUGGAUUGAUUCCUGCUCUGGCUCUCUCUCUUCUUACUGCUGUUCUGUGCGUUCAGAGGAAGAGGAGAGCAGAGAGAGGUGCUGAUGUUCAGACUUCAAAGCCUGGAGACGACACGUACACAGCUCUAAACCUCGCCACCACCUCGUCCUCUGAGUACGACACUCUGACAGUAAGUCUGCAGUGUGUGUGUUUGUGUGUGUGUGUGUGUGUGUUGUUAGAAUGUGAAG
rnacentral:lncRNA from 1 species